GAUGAAGCCAAAUCCUUAACAGCCCAAAGGCGCGGUGGAAAAAAAGUUCCCUCCAGCGAAAAAGUUCCGACAGAAGGAGAAGCUUCGGGAGACACCAAAAACCGGGGUUAAAAUUGCUUUUAUCUGUGUCCAUUUCUCCUCCUCCUCCUCCUCCUCCUCCCUUCUUUCUCUUUCACUAAACAGGAGGUCCUUUCACUGAACGAUGUAGCACAGCGAAUGUGCCAAGGACACCGGACACGAAGAAGCUUUUGAACGUGACUUCCAGCCUCUUGUUUAGCUUAGUGCAGGAAUCACUCGGCAACUUCAGUCACAUGAGAACGUGUGUUCAAAUUACCAUCUCCUCUCCACCUCAGUCUCUGGAGUGUUUGAUCCACUAGAGGGCAGCACUGCUAUUAAGCAGGGAUUUAGCAGUCAUUAGGUAAUAGACUGAACUCUGGUGACCUGUGCAGACAUUCUCUCUCUCCCCAAACUGUGAUCCCUCUCCUCUGUCCGGUCGCCUUCAGGCCCUGCUGGAGCCGCGGGCAUCCUUCACCCUGAACGGGCAGCAGGAGGAGAGAUGUUGCCCCCUCACCCAGGACCUCCACCUCUC